rnacentral:rRNA from 1 species
GUGGGGAAUUUUGGACAAUGGGCGCAAGCCUGAUCCAGCAAUGCCGCGUGCAGGAAGAAGGCCUUCGGGUUGUAAACUGCUUUUGUACGGAACGAAACGGUCCGGGUUAAUACCCUGGGCUAAUGACGGUACCGUAAGAAUAAGCACCGGCUAACUACGUGCCAGCAGCCGCGGUAAUACGUAGGGUGCAAGCGUUAAUCGGAAUUACUGGGCGUAAAGCGCGCGUAGGUGGUUCAGCAAGUUGGAGGUGAAAUCCCCGGGCUCAACCUGGGAAUUGCGCUUGUGACUGCAAGGCUGGAGUGCGGCAGAGGGGGAUGGAAUUCCGCGUGUAGCAGUGAAAUGCGUAGAUAUGCGGAGGAACACCGAUGGCGAAGGCAAUCCCCUGGGCCUGCACUGACGCUCAUGCACGAAAGCGUGGGGAGCAAACAGGAUUAGAAACCCUGGUAGUCC